rnacentral:rRNA from 1 species
UACGUAGGGUGCAAGCGUUUAAUCGGAAUUACUGGGCGUAAAGCGUGCGCAGGCGGUUAUGUAAGACAGUUGUGAAAUCCCCGGGCUCAACCUGGGAACUGCAUCUGUGACUGCAUAGCUAGAGUACGGUAGAGGGGGAUGGAAUUCCGCGUGUAGCAGUGAAAUGCGUAGAUAUGCGGAGGAACACCGAUGGCGAAGGCAAUCCCCUGGACCUGUACUGACGCUCAUGCACGAAAGCGUGGGGAGCAAACAGG